rnacentral:tRNA from 1 species
GCGCCCUUAGCUCAGUUGGAUAGAGCAUCGGUUUUCUAAACCGGGGGUCGGAGGUUCGAAUCCUCUAGGGCGCGCCA